GAUUGCCUGUCUUCCCUUUAUUUUUUCUGCCUGCCUGGUGUGCUGGAGCUCCAGCUCCAUCUUGGACCAUGAUGGAAAAUGGAAGCACUUGUUGAGGAUCUACAGAGUCUGGGUUCCUGGUGACAGUACAGCUGCCAUAUGAAUCCCAGAUUGUCAAACUCUGAACUUAUUAUGCCGGAGAAACAUAAACCCUUAUGUGUCUAAGCUAUUGUUAUUUGACUACUUGUAGUCAACUCUAAUCCUGACUUAUACACCUUAUAUUCAAAGCUCUAAAUAGUAGCCCCAGCAUACCUUCCAGCCUCCUCUCAUUCUCUCCCUUACAAAUACACAUAUAGCCAAACUUCACUGUUUGUUUUCUAAGGAGAUAACCUUUGCUUUUCUGUCUCUAAGUUUUUGCUCAUCCCAUGCCCAUUCUCCAUGUCUAUCUAUUGAAGUGCAACUCAGAUGCCCCUUUCUCCAAGAAUCCUUCUGUGAUUCUUCUACUCAAAUGUGAUUUCUCCUCUUUCUGAGCUCAGAGUGUUUUGAUUGUAUCCUUCUUGGCACUUAGAGUCUGCCAGAAUUAUCAUUACUUUGCUGCCUAUUCUGCUAGAUUUUAAGCUCCCUUUAUGGUGCCAAGCACAGGGUUAGUGUUCUAUAACGAUUUGAUGCAAUAAUGCAUGAAUAAAUAAAGGAAUGAAUGAAUAAAAACAAAAAGUGAACAUUCUUUUGCCCCUCAUCCUGUGUACCCGUUCAUCUUAACCCCUCUGAAGAGACAGGUGGAAAAAGCUCCCACAGUUGAUCAAAGAGAAGAGAGAAGCGGUAGGCACAAAGUAAGUCAUGGGGACACCUCUGUCUGCAAUGGACAAGGCUGAAAAAAAUUAUUACAGUUGGCCCAGCUUGCCUUUUAAGAGCAACAACUAAUAUUUACUAAGCACUUGCCAUGUGCUGACACCAUGCAAAGUGAUUUAAAUGCACUAUUUCAUUUAAUUUAAUCCACCAACAAUCUAUGAAAUUUGGCUAAUUGGACCACGCGCGGUGGCUCAUGCCUAUAAUACCAGCACUUUGGGAGGCUGAGGCAGGCAGGUCAUGAGGUCAAGAGAUCGAGACCAUCCUGGCCAACAUGGUGAAACCCUGUCUCUACUAAAAAUAGAAAAAUUAGCUGGGCAUGGUGGCAUGCACCUGUAGUCCCAGCUACUCAGGAGGC
rnacentral:lncRNA from 1 species